GAUGAACGCUGGCGGCGUGCUUAACACAUGCAAGUCGAACGAAGCACUGUAUUUGAUUUCCUUCGGGACUGAUUAUUUUGUGACUGAGUGGCGGACGGGUGAGUAACGCGUGGGUAACCUGCCUUGUACAGGGGGAUAACAGUUGGAAACGGCUGCUAAUACCGCAUAAGCGCACGGCAUCGCAUGAUGCAGUGUGAAAAACUCCGGUGGUAUAAGAUGGACCCGCGUUGGCUUAGCUAGUUGGUGAGGUAACGGCCCACCAAGGCGACGAUCCAUAGCCGACCUGAGAGGGUGACCGGCCACAGUGAGACUGAGACACAGCCCAAACUCCUACGGGAGGCAGCAGUGGGGAAUAUUGCACAAUGGGCGAAGGCCUGAUGCAGCGACGCCGCGUGAGCGAAGAAGUAUUUCAGUAUGUAAAGCUCUAUCAGCAGGGAAGAUAAUGACGGUACCUGACGAAGAAGCACCGGCUAAAUACGUG
rnacentral:rRNA from 1 species